rnacentral:rRNA from 1 species
GACGAACGCUGGCGGCGUGCCUAAUACAUGCAAGUAGAACGCUGAAGAGAGGAGCUUGCUCUUCUUGGAUGAGUUGCGAACGGGUGAGUAACGCGUAGGUAACCUGCCUUGUAGCGGGGGAUAACUAUUGGAAACGAUAGCUAAUACCGCAUAACAAUGGAUGACACAUGUCAUUUAUUUGAAAGGGGCAAUUGCUCCACUACAAGAUGGACCUGCGUUGUAUUAGCUAGUAGGUGAGGUAAUGGCUCACCUAGGCGACGAUACAUAGCCGACCUGAGAGGGUGAUCGGCCACACUGGGACUGAGACACGGCCCAGACUCCUACGGGAGGCAGCAGUAGGGAAUCUUCGGCAAUGGGGGCAACCCUGACCGAGCAACGCCGCGUGAGUGAAGAAGGUUUUCGGAUCGUAAAGCUCUGUUGUAAGUCAAGAACGGGUGUGAGAGUGGAAAGUUCACACUGUGACGGUAGCUUACCAGAAAGGGACGGCUAACUACGUGCCAGCAGCCGCGGUAAUACGUAGGUCCCGAGCGUUGUCCGGAUUUAUUGGGCGUAAAGCGAGCGCAGGCGGUUUGAUAAGUCUGAAGUUAAAGGCUGUGGCUCAACCAUAGUUCGCUUUGGAAACUGUCAAACUUGAGUGCAGAAGGGGAGAGUGGAAUUCCAUGUGUAGCGGUGAAAUGCGUAGAUAUAUGGAGGAACACCGGUGGCGAAAGCGGCUCUCUGGUCUGUAACUGACGCUGAGGCUCGAAAGCGUGGGGAGCGAACAGGAUUAGAUACCCUGGUAGUCCACGCCGUAAACGAUGAGUGCUAGGUGUUGGAUCCUUUCCGGGAUUCAGUGCCGCAGCUAACGCAUUAAGCACUCCGCCUGGGGAGUACGACCGCAAGGUUGAAACUCAAAGGAAUUGACGGGGGCCCGCACUUGCAAUGGAGCAUGUGGUUUAAUUCGAAGCUUCGCGAAGAACCUUACCAGGUCUUGACAUCCCGAUGCUAUUUCUAGAGAUAGAAAGUUACUUCGGUACAUCGGUGACAGGUGGUGCAUGGUUGUCGUCAGCUCGUGUCGUGAGAUGUUGGGUUAAGUCCCGCAACGAGCGCAACCCCUAUUGUUAGUUGCCAUCAUUCAGUUGGGCACUCUAGCGAGACUGCCGGUAAUAAACCGGAGGAAGGUGGGGAUGACGUCAAAUCAUCAUGCCCCUUAUGACCUGGGCUACACACGUGCUACAAUGGUUGGUACAACGAGUUGCGAGUCGGUGACGGCGAGCUAAUCUCAACAAGCCAAUCUCAGUUCGGAUUGUAGGCUGCAACUCGCCUACAUGAAGUCGGAAUCGCUAGUAAUCGCGGAUCAGCACGCCGCGGUGAAUACGUUAAGGGGCCUUGUACACACCGCCCGUCACACCACGAGAGUU